AUAUCUCCAUUAAAAGAUUUUUUCUUUUAACGGGUCCUUGGGCUUGGUGAUGAGAUUAGCCUCUUUGUAUCACCUUGCCUUAAAAGUAUGAGUGGAUGAGUGUCAGCCAUAGAUUUUUGUUAAGGCAAACCCAUAAAAAUCUUGUGCUUUUGUCAUCUGCUACCAAACAAACACACACAUACAUAAUUCUUUAUGUAUUCCU
rnacentral:misc_RNA from 1 species